GAAAUUCAGGACCAUUCUGGGACUCGCAAGACUAUAAACUCGGAGCUGUGGUACGCAUGUGCUGGUCCACUUGUUUCUUUGCCUCAGGUUGGAAGUCUUGUGUAUUAUUUUCCUCAAGGACACAGCGAGCAGGUGGCAGUUUCCACUAAAAGAACAGCAACAUCACAAAUUCCUAACUACCCAAAUCUCCCUUCCCAGUUGCUUUGCCAAGUUCACAAUGUUACCCUACAUGCAG
rnacentral:misc_RNA from 1 species